CGGAGGGUGCGAGCGUUGUCCGGAAUCACUGGGCGUAAAGGGCGCGUAGGCGGCCUGAUAAGUAGGGGGUGAAAUCCUGCGGCUUAACCGCAGGGCUGCCUUCUAAACUGUCAGGCUAGAGCACAGUAGAGGCAGGUGGAAUUCCCGGUGUAGCGGUGGAAUGCGUAGAGAUCGGGAAGAACAUCAGUGGCGAAGGCGGCCUGCUGGGCUGUUGCUGACGCUGAGGCGCGACAGCGUGGGGAGCAAACAGGAUUAGAUACCCUGGUAGUCCACGCCGUAAACGAUGGGCACUAGGCGUCGGGGGGAGCGACCCUCCCGGUGCCGUCGCUAACGCAGUAAGUGCCCCGCCUGGGGAGUACGGCCGCAAGGCUG
rnacentral:rRNA from 1 species